rnacentral:lncRNA from 1 species
GGGAAGGGAAGGGAAGGGAAGGAAGGAAGGAAGGAAGGAAGGAAGGAAGGAAGGAAGGAAGGAAGGAAGGAAGGAAGGAAGAAACUAUGUUCAGGGAGGAGAUGAAUUCAAACAGAACUGAGGAAAUUUUCAAGGAUUAGGAGAACGGGGGGUUGGGGGUGGCACUGUAUUAAAGGGCUCAGUAUCUCUCAUAGCACUGUGACCCCUUGAGUAAUAAUUCUAGAAAUAAAUUUAAACUGAAUUCUUAAGUCACAGAUAUUUUAUGAGAAUAUCUUGCCAUAUUCUAUCCAAUAUAAUGUCUAUGUUUAUUUUUUAAAAAGUAAUUGAGUAGUAAAAUCUUUUCUUUAGAUGAAACCAUUUUUCAUUAAUUCAUAUAUUUAUUCACUUUACAUCCCAAUGACAGCCCCCCCCCCUCCUUCCGAUAUUACACACACACGGCAUCUUCCUCAUCCUACCUUCCUUUCUCCUCUGAGAAGGGGGAUGCUCCGAUGUAUCACCCCACCCUGGC